rnacentral:rRNA from 1 species
AACGGUUUAUAGUUGACGUCUUCAUUAUUUUUUUACCUCACAAACAGUUAGUAACAUCCUUUUUCAAAAGUGGGUAGACAUUAGUCCAAUUCGGAAGUUUUUUCUUACUCCUACGGGAGGCAGCAGUAGGGAAUCUUCCGCAAUGGACGAAAGUCUGACGGAGCAACGCCGCGUGUAUGAAGAAGGUUUUCGGAUCGUAAAGUACUGUUGUAGAGAAGAACAAGGAUAAGAGUAACUGCUUGUCCCUUGACGGUAUCUAACCAGAAAGCCACGGCUAACUACGUGCCAGCAGCCGCGGUAAUACA